rnacentral:lncRNA from 1 species
GAGCCCUUAACACCUGAGCAAAGGAGAGAACGCUGGAGGAGAAGGCGGCGCGAGCUGAGCCCUUACCACCUGAGCAAGGAGAGUGUCAAAUCAACAGUGCCUUGACAUCUUUCCACACUGCUUUGGAACUUGCAGUAGACCAGAGAGAAAUUCAACAUGUCUGUCUGUAUGAAAUUGGUUGGUGCAGCAUGAUAGAGCUCAAUUUCAAGGAUGCAUUUGAUUCCUUUGAGAGGCUAAAAAAUGAGUCCAGGUGGUCCCAGUGCUAUUAUGCCUACUUGACUGCAGUUUGUCAGGGAGCCACUGGUGAUGUGGAUGGGGCACAGAUUGUCUUUAAAGAAGUUCAGAAACUCUUCAAAAGGAAAAACAAUCAGAUUGAACAGUUCUCGGUG